UCCUCCUGAUGUUGUAGAACUACACCAUGAUUCUAUGAAUUAAAUAGAUAAGCUGAGAAUCAUGUUGUAGUUCAGCAACAUCUGGAGGG